UACAGAGGGGGCAAGCGUUAUUCGGAAUUAUUGGGCGUAAAGGGCGCGUAGGCGGCCUGGCAAGUGGAAGGUGAAAUCCCUCGGCUUAACCGAGGAACUGCCCUCCAAACUGCUUGGCUUGAGUCCGGGAGAGGUGAGUGGAAUUCCCAGUGUAGCGGUGAAAUGCGUAGAUAUUGGGAGGAACACCAGUGGCGAAGGCGGGUCUCUGGGCAGUAACUGACGCUGAGGAGCGAAAGCGUGGGGAGCGAACGAGG
rnacentral:rRNA from 1 species